rnacentral:rRNA from 1 species
UUGAACGCUGGCGGCAGGCCUAACACAUGCAAGUCGCGCGGAUGAAGGGAGCUUGCUCCUGGACUCAGCGGCGGACGGGUGAGUAAUGCCUAGGAAUCUGCCUGGUAGUGGGGGAUAACGUCCGGAAACGGGCGCUAAUACCGCAUACGACCUGAGGGAGAAAGUGGGGGAUCUUCGGACCUCACGCUAUCAGAUGAGCCUAGGUCGGAUUAGCUAGUUGGUGGGGUAAAGGCCUACCAAGGCGACGAUCCGUAACUGGUCUGAGAGGAUGAUCAGUCACACUGGAACUGAGACACGGUCCAGACUCCUACGGGAGGCAGCAGUGGGGAAUAUUGGACAAUGGGCGAAAGCCUGAUCCAGCCAUGCCGCGUGUGUGAAGAAGGUCUUCGGAUUGUAAAGCACUUUAAGUUGGGAGGAAGGGCAGUAAGUUAAUACCUUGCUGUUUUGACGUUACCAACAGAAUAAGCACCGGCUAACUUCGUG